GGGAUAACGCAUCGAAAGGUGUGCUAAUACCGCAUAAUCUCUGAGGAGAAAAGCAGGGGAUCGCAAGACCUUGCGCUAUUGGAGCGGCCGAUGCCUGAUUAGCUUGUUGGUGAGGUAAAAGCUCACCAAGGCUUCGAUCAGUAGCUGGUCUGAGAGGACGACCAGCCACACUGGGACUGAGACACGGCCCAGACUCCUACGGGAGGCAGCAGUGGGGAAUUUUGGACAAUGGGGGAAACCCUGAUCCAGCCAUGCCGCGUGAGUGAAGAAGGCCUUCGGGUUGUAAAGCUCUUUCAGCCGGAACGAAACGGUUACGGUUAAUACCCGUGACUACUGACGGUACCGGAAGAAGAAGCACCGGCUAACUACGUGCCAGCAGCCGCGGUAAUACGUAGGGUGCGAGCGUUAAUCGGAAUUACUGGGCGUAAAGCGUGCGCAGGCGGUUUUGUAAGUCAGAUGUGAAAUCCCCGGGCUUAACCUGGGAACUG
rnacentral:rRNA from 1 species